GACGAACGCUGGCGGCAUGCCUAACACAUGCAAGUCGAACGAGAUCUUCGGGUCUAGUGGCGCACGGGUGCGUAACGCGUGGGAAUCUGCCCUUUGGUUCGGAAUAACAGUUGGAAACGACCGCUAAUACCGGAUGAUGACGAAAGUCCAAAGAUUUAUCGCCAGAGGAUGAGCCCGCGUAGGAUUAGCUAGUUGGUGUGGUAAAGGCGCACCAAGGCGACGAUCCUUAGCUGGUCUGAGAGGAUGAUCAGCCACACUGGGACUGAGACACGGCCCAGACUCCUACGGGAGGCAGCAGUGGGGAAUAUUGGACAAUGGGCGAAAGCCUGAUCCAGCAAUGCCGCGUGAGUGAUGAAGGCCUUAGGGUUGUAAAGCUCUUUUACCCGGGAUGAUAAUGACAGUACCGGGAGAAUAAGCUCCGGCUAACUCCGUGCCAGCCGCCGCCGUAAAAC
rnacentral:rRNA from 1 species